rnacentral:lncRNA from 1 species
CUAUGGACGUGUUAGCCUCCAAGACCAAAAGAGUCUACGUUGAUGGUGUGCAAAGAUAUGCCACUCCUUUAUUGCGUGCUGCUUCUGUUGUUCAGUUGCGAGCCUCACCAAAUGCAGUUAUGUCCUCCCUCAGAGGUAUUGAGCGUCGCCUUCAAAGAAAUCCUGAAUCUGCUGCUGUCUAUGACCAAGAAAUUGCCAAGUUGGAGAAGGCUGGUUAUAUUUCCAAAGUGGAACCUCCUCAUGAUUCAUCCAAGGAAUCAUGGUAUAUCCCUCAUCAUUUUGUUGAGCAUAACGGGAAACCUCGAAUAGUCUUCAAUUGUUCCUAUCAAUGUAAAGGUAUGUCACUAAACAACCAGCUCCUUCCUGGUCCAAAAUUAGGCCCCUCCUUACUUGGUGUCUUACUCCGAUUUCGCCAGUAUCCAGUAGUCAUUAGUAGUGACAUAAAAUCUAUGUUUCACCAAAUUAGGCUACUACCAGAAGAUCGUCCUCUCUUACGCUUCCUGUGGCGCAACCUGCAGAGAUCAAAUCCACCUGAUGUCUACGAAUGGCAAGUUUUGCAAUUUGGUACAGUAUGUAGUCCAUGUUGCGCAACAUAUGCUUUACAAAGGUAUGUCCAUGACUACCAAGAAGGAUAUGAAGAUAUAGUGAAUUCUGUACUUCAGUCGUUCUAUGUGGAUAAUUGUUUAGAGUGUUUCCCACACGUGCAAGUCGCAAAGAACCACCUUGACCGCGUGCGUUCCUUACUGGUGAGUGAGGGAUUUGAAAUCAGACAGUGGGCAAGUAACCAGCCUGAUGUUGUGAGACAUCUUCCUUCUGAAGCCAGGUCUGAGAGUGCAGAACUUUGGAUCAGUCAAGACCGGUUGGAUCCAAAAGAAGGAGCUUUGGGUCCGAGUUGGCACUGUCCCUCCGAUUCAUUGGGGUAUCGAUCUCGAACUGUGGAGUAUAACGCAACAACUAUGCGCAAUAUCUAUAAAGUUCUCGCUAGUCAAUAUGACCCAUUGGGUUAUAUUACUCCCUUUACAACGCGAGCUAAGGUCAUUGUACAGCAAUGCUGGAUGAAGUCUCGGGGUUGGGAUGAUCCCCUUAUGCCAAAUCCUAUCCAACGGGCCUGGAAGGCUUGGGAAACUGAGCUACCUGAUCUGUCAUUGAUACAGCUUCCCCGCUGUUACUUAACUUUGCCUUCCAAGCAAAUUGUAUCCAGAGAGUUGCAUAUUUUUUGCGAUGCUUCAGAGAGCGCAUAUGGGUCAGUAGCAUAUUUGCGAAUGGAAACUGACAAGGGCGUGGUACAUACUACUUUCAUCAUGGCAAGAUCUCGAGUUGCCCCAAAAAGGCAAAUUUCCAU